AGCGUACACGGUGGAUGCCCUGGCAGUCAGAGGCGAUGAAGGACGUGCUAAUCUGCGAAAAGCGUCGGUAAGGUGAUAUGAACCGUUACAGCCGGCGAUGUCCGAAUGGGGAAACCCAGUGUGAUUCGUCACACUAUCGUUAACUGAAUACAUAGGUUAACGAGGCGAACCGGGGGAACUGAAACAUCUAAGUACCCCGAGGAAAAGAAAUCAACCGAGAUUCCCCCAGUAGCGGCGAGCGAACGGGGAGCAGCCCAGAGUCUGAAUCAGCUUGUGUGUUAGUGGAACGGUCUGGAAAGUCCGACGGUACAGGGUGAUAGUCCCGUACACCAAAAUGCACAGGUUGUGAACUCGAAGAGUAGGGCGGGACACGUGGUAUCCUGUCUGAAUAUGGGGGGACCAUCCUCCAAGGCUAAAUACUCCUGACUGACCGAUAGUGAACCAGUACCGUGAGGGAAAGGCGAAAAGAACCCCGGCGAGGGGAGUGAAAAAGAACCUGAAACCGUGUACGUACAAGCAGUGGGAGCACCUUCGGGUGUGACUGCGUACCUUUUGUAUAAUGGGUCAGCGACUUAUAUUCUGUAGCAAGGUUAACCGUAUAGGGGAGCCGCAGGGAAACCGAGUCUUAACUGGGCGUUAAGUUGCAGGGUAUAGACCCGAAACCCGGUGAUCUAGCCAUGGGCAGGUUGAAGGUUGGGUAACACUAACUGGAGGACCGAACCGACUAAUGUUGAAAAAUUAGCGGAUGACUUGUGGCUGGGGGUGAAAGGCCAAUCAAACCGGGAGAUAGCUGGUUCUCCCCGAAAGCUAUUUAGGUAGCGCCUCGUGAAUUCAUCUUCGGGGGUAGAGCACUGUUUCGGCUAGGGGGUCAUCCCGACUUACCAACCCGAUGCAAACUACGAAUACCGAAGAAUGUUAUCACGGGAGACACACGGCGGGUGCUAACGUCCGUCGUGAAGAGGGAAACAACCCAGACCGCCAGCUAAGGUCCCAAAGUCACAGUUAAGUGGGAAACGAUGUGGGAAGGCACAGACAGCCAGGAUGUUGGCUUAGAAGCAGCCAUCAUUUAAAGAAAGCGUAAUAGCUCACUGGUCGAGUCGGCCUGCGCGGAAGAUGUAACGGGGCUAAACUGUGCACCGAAGCUGCGGCAGCGACACUAUGUGUUGUUGGGUAGGGGAGCGUUCUGUAAGCCUGCGAAGGUGGCCUGUGAGGGUUGCUGGAGGUAUCAGAAGUGCGAAUGCUGACAUAAGUAACGAUAAUGCGGGUGAAAAGCCCGCACGCCGGAAGACCAAGGGUUCCUGUCCAACGUUAAUCGGGGCAGGGUGAGUCGACCCCUAAGGCGAGGCCGAAAGGCGUAGUCGAUGGGAAACAGGUUAAUAUUCCUGUACUUGGUGUUACUGCGAAGGGGGGACGGAGAAGGCUAUGUUAGCCGGGCGACGGUUGUCCCGGUUUAAGCAUGUAGGCGGAGGUUCCAGGUAAAUCCGGUACCUUUUAACGCUGAGGUGUGAUGACGAGGCACUACGGUGCUGAAGUAACAAAUGCCCUGCUUCCAGGAAAAGCCUCUAAGCAUCAGGUAACAUUAAAUCGUACCCCAAACCGACACAGGUGGUCAGGUAGAGAAUACCAAGGCGCUUGAGAGAACUCGGGUGAAGGAACUAGGCAAAAUGGUGCCGUAACUUCGGGAGAAGGCACGCUGAUAUGUAGGUGAAGCCCCUGCGGGUGGAGCUGAAAUCAGUCGAAGAUACCAGCUGGCUGCAACUGUUUAUUAAAAACACAGCACUGUGCAAACACGAAAGUGGACGUAUACGGUGUGACGCCUGCCCGGUGCCGGAAGGUUAAUUGAUGGGGUUAUCCGUAAGGAGAAGCUCUUGAUCGAAGCCCCGGUAAACGGCGGCCGUAACUAUAACGGUCCUAAGGUAGCGAAAUUCCUUGUCGGGUAAGUUCCGACCUGCACGAAUGGCGUAAUGAUGGCCAGGCUGUCUCCACCCGAGACUCAGUGAAAUUGAACUCGCUGUGAAGAUGCAGUGUACCCGCGGCAAGACGGAAAGACCCCGUGAACCUUUACUAUAGCUUGACACUGAACAUUGAGCCUUGAUGUGUAGGAUAGGUGGGAGGCUUUGAAGCGUGGACGCCAGUCUGCGUGGAGCCAACCUUGAAAUACCACCCUUUAAUGUUUGAUGUUCUAACGUUGGCCCCUGACCGGGGUUGCGGACAGUGUCUGGUGGGUAGUUUGACUGGGGCGGUCUCCUCCCAAAGAGUAACGGAGGAGCACGAAGGUUAGCUAAUCCUGGUCGGACAUCAGGAGGUUAGUGCAAUGGCAUAAGCUAGCUUGACUGCGAGCGUGACGGCGCGAGCAGGUGCGAAAGCAGGUCAUAGUGAUCCGGUGGUUCUGAAUGGAAGGGCCAUCGCUCAACGGAUAAAAGGUACUCCGGGGAUAACAGGCUGAUACCGCCCAAGAGUUCAUAUCGACGGCGGUGUUUGGCACCUCGAUGUCGGCUCAUCACAUCCUGGGGCUGAAGUAGGUCCCAAGGGUAUGGCUGUUCGCCAUUUAAAGUGGUACGCGAGCUGGGUUUAGAACGUCGUGAGACAGUUCGGUCCCUAUCUGCCGUGGGCGCUGGAGAAUUGAGGGGGGCUGCUCCUAGUACGAGAGGACCGGAGUGGACGCAUCACUGGUGUUCGGGUUGUCAUGCCAAUGGCAUUGCCCGGUAGCUAAAUGCGGAAGAGAUAAGUGCUGAAAGCAUCUAAGCACGAAACUUGCCCCGAGAUGAGUUCU
rnacentral:rRNA from 1 species